AAACUAGAACUGCGAAGCUGGCUUCGGUUCGCGAUCCUCCUCUCUGGCUCCGGGCUGCGCGCAGAGUCUGGGUGGCGAGCGAAUGGUGCCUGCGAUCUUCUGCCUCGGGGAGCCGGCUGUCUUCCUUGUGCUAAAAAAACGGAGGAAGUCUGUCUGCCACAGGGCAGAGGGUGGUAUCCAAAGGGUCUCCUCUCCUUGAGUGACUGGUUCCUCCAUUGGAUCUCAGCUCGUAGCUCCUGACCUCAAGCAAGUGCUACUGAAGUGGAAAUGUCUUAUAUCCUGUUUUGUGAUUCCCUGCCUCAGAGCUGAGUCACCCCUGCCUGAAGAAAGGAUCCUUCAUCCCAAGGCUCACUCACUUCCUAUCCAAGCCAUCUCAAGGCUUCUAGUUGGCAUUGCUCGCCUGCCACUUCCUCCAUUCCAACCGUCUCUCUUCACUCUGAAACCCAAAGCCUGCUCAAGACCCAGUUGGUUCAGAGCUCAGGUUCAUGUGUCUUAGGAGAGGGUUCUAUUAGUCUGGAAAAUGAGUGCAGCCAGAAGACAAGAAACUGGCUGGGGGGGGGAUUGGGGGAAGGGAAGAUGACCGAGGAGCCCCCCCCCCUUCUCUCUACCCCAUCCCAUGAUUUCCUUUGUCUCCUGUCCCAAUCCCAACCCAUCUCCCCACCCCCAGCCUAUGAGCCUGGAGGCUUCCCAAUAAAACAGUAUUGUAACCUUAUCUAAGA
rnacentral:lncRNA from 1 species